CCUACGGGUGGCUGCAGUGGGGAAUAUUGGACAAUGGGCGAAAGCCUGAUCCAGCCAUGCCGCGUGUGUGAAGAAGGCCUUCGGGUUGUAAAGCACUUUCAGUGGGGAAGAAAGCCUUGGGGCUAAUACCCUCGAGGUAGGACAUCACCCACAGAAGAAGCACCGGCUAACUCCGUGCCAGCAGCCGCGGUAAUACGGAGGGUGCGAGCGUUAAUCGGAAUUACUGGGCGUAAAGCGCGCGUAGGCGGUCUGAUAAGCCGGUUGUGAAAGCCCCGGGCUCAACCUGGGAACGGCAUCCGGAACUGUCAGGCUAGAGUGCAGGAGAGGAAGGUAGAAUUCCCGGUGUAGCGGUGAAAUGCGUAGAGAUCGGGAGGAAUACCAGUGGCGAAGGCGGCCUUCUGGACUGACACUGACGCUGAGGUGCGAAAGCGUGGGUAGCAAACAGGAUUAGAUACCCCAGUAGUC
rnacentral:rRNA from 1 species